rnacentral:rRNA from 1 species
UACAGAGGGUGCGAGCGUUAAUCGGAAUUACUGGGCGUAAAGCGUGCGUAGACGGUUAUUUAAGUCAGACGUGAAAUCCCUCAGCUCAACUGGGGAACUGCGUCUGAGACUGGCCGGCUUGAGUGCAGGAGAGGAACGCGGAAUUCCAGGUGUAGCGGUGAAAUGCGUAGAUAUCUGGAGGAACACCGGUGGCGAAGGCGGCGUUCUGGACUGCAACUGACACUGAGGAACGAAAGCCAGGGGAGCAAACGGG